AGGAGGCUCCUGCCUACUGUAGUUUCUUCCUUACAGUUCGUCUGACUUCAUUCCUUCGUGUACCAGAGAGCGCUUUGGCAUUCAAGGGUAUUUGUCUUAUUUUUUUCUCACCCUUCACAAAAGCUGUCCUCUGCUUAACAUGCACAUUUUUUCCUUCGGAGCCAUUUUCCUCUGUAGGCUCUCUGAGCUGGCCAGCUGCCAAACAGUAGGGUGAGCUGCAUGAAAAAGCCUUGAUCAUUGACAGGCUGUCUUACAAUUUCUUUCUUGUAUUCAAGAUGCAGAUGGAUGUUAUUAGAAAGGUUUUUACUUCGAAGUGCGCGGCUUGUCCACAUGGCUGAGAUUAGUGCUCAAUACUCAUAUAAUGCUUUUCAUCCUCAAAAGGGCUUUACAAGCUCCAGCCCCCAAAACACCCCCACAAGAUUAUGUUUUUUUCCCCCACUGAGUGAAUACUUGCAUAGUUUUGUUGAUUGAAUGAAGGACUGCAGCAUCUCAGGAAAGAUGUAACUGAACUCUGGUGUGUCAGAAUACUUGGACAUUCCAUCUUAUCUCCCUCUUGUUUCCAGGAAAGGUAUCAGGCCCAAAAAGUACUCUGGAGAAAAGGGAAAAGUUUGAUGGUUUGAUGACUACUACACAGUGUUUCAGAAGGAGAAGCUGGGGCAGAUGUUGACAUGAGAUCUGGAGCACACCUUCCCAGUGGGGGUACCAGGAUAGAAGACCUCCCAUCAUCACUUUUACUCCUGAGGGAUGAGGGGCAGACCUGUAUCGUGGUCACAAGUGCAGAGGAAGUUUGUGUAGAUGUUCCUGAACUUCAGAAAUACACGCUCGACCUUCAAGAGUUUCUGCUAAUUUGUUCAGUGUUCACACAGUGUGUAGCACAGGCCUCCUGCUAUGCCUCGUGAGUGCUGCUGCAGUACAGCCACCUUUCCUUUUGUUUGGGCACCUUUAUCAGUACAGCUGAAGGGAACACUGUGUGGACUGUGAAUUCCUCUCCAAGAUCAUGUAAAUUCUUGGACAGUACAUGCUGUUGCUCCUAUUAUUAAUCUAACUAGCUAAAGCUGGUUUGCAUACAUCUGCAGCUACAGCAGAAGUUUAAUGAUAAAUAUUACCAAAUGUAGCCAUGCAAAUAGUGGCAAAUAUUGAAUAAAUGCAUGAAAUGCAUUUAGUAAGUAAAAAAAUCUUCUGU